UGGGGAAUUUUCCGCAAUGGGCGAAAGCCUGACGGAGCAAUACCGCGUGGGGGAAGAAGGUUCUUGGAUUGUAAACCUCUUUUCUCAAGGAAGAAAAAAAUGACGGUACUUGAGGAAUCAGCAUCGGCUAACUCCGUGCCAGCAGCCGCGGUAAUACGGAGGAUGCAAGCGUUAUCCGGAAUUAUUGGGCGUAAAGCGUCCGCAGGUGGCACUUCAAGUCUGCUGUCAAAGACUAGAGCUUAACUCUGGGCAGGCAGUGGAAACUGGAGAGCUAGAGUCCGGUAGGGGUAGAAGGAAUUCCCAGUGUAGCGGUGAAAUGCGUAGAGAUUGGGAAGAACACCAGUGGCGAAAGCGUUCUACUGGACCGGAACUGACACUCAGGGACGAAAGCUAGGGUAGCGAAAGGG
rnacentral:rRNA from 1 species